UGUUGCAUAUCGUUUGAUUACUGUAAUGAACCUAUAGAAUUACUACAAUUCUUGAAUGAGAUAGAACCUAUCUUUACCUAUUAGUUGGUGAUAGGAUGCAUUUAUUGCAUAUCUAAAAAUGAUAUUUAAUGUAUUCUUGUUCCUUCAAAUAUUUAUUUAUAAUGCAUUGGUAUGUAAUGAUGUUUAAUACAAAUAAUAUUUUUUAUUUAUAAUGCAUUGGUAUCUAAAAAUAAUAUUUAAUGUAAAUAAUAUUUUUUGUUUGCCUAUGUAAUGAUCUCG
rnacentral:lncRNA from 1 species